GCUGACUUUGCCACAUGGGUCAGGGUAACCUUCCUGCGCAUGCGCAAUUUGCAUUAACAAUCGCCAGAGGUACAUCGCAAACAGAGACCUGGUAAACAGAGUCAGCCCUAACCCUGAAUGAGUCAUGGCCCAGUUCGGGGGACAGAAGAAUCCGCCGUGGGCAACUCAGUUUGCUGCCACAGCUGUGUCUCAGCCGGGUCACUCAGGACAGUCUCUUGACCUCAACAGCCUACACUCCCUAGGGGUGCAACAGCCGUCUCUCCUGGGAGCGUCUCCCUCCGUGUACUCUCAGCAGUCAGCCUUGGCUGCAGCUUCUCUCAGUAACCAGUCUGCAGCAAACUAUCAGCUGUCUCAGCAAACUGCUGCUUUGCAGCAGCAAGCUGCAGCGGCCGCUGCAGCAGCUCUACAGCAGUCACAGAUCAAUUCAGCACUUCAGCAGUAUCAGCAGCAGCAGCAGCAACAACAGCAGCAGCAGCAGCAACAACAGCAACCUCCCCAGCAACCACCUCAACAACUGUAUAAUGUACCUCAUCAGCUCCCUCAACCUCAGCAGGCGCUGAUCUCUCAGCCCCCCGUCGCAUUGCCCACCAGCCUGAGUUUGUCCAACCCUCAGCAGACGGCCCAGAUUACUGUGUCGUAUCCAACACCGCGUUCAAGCCACCAACAGCAGACGCAGCCUCAGAAGCAGCGAGUCUUCACUGGUGUUGUCAAUAAGCUACAUGACACGUUUGGCUUUGUAGAUGAAGAUGUCUUCUUUCAGCUAAGUGCCGUGAAAGGAAAAACUCCCCAGGUCGGUGACAGGGUCCUAGUGGAAGCUGUGUACAACCCUAACAUGCCCUUCAAGUGGAACGCCCAACGCAUCCAGACUUUACCUCAGCUGGCAAAUCAGUCGCUUCAGCAGCAGCCUCAGCCUUUACCUCAAGCUUCCCCACAGCUCGGCAGCCUUUACAAUGAGCCAGGAAUGCAGCUCCGCUACACAGAUAUGCACUCUGCUGCGGACAACAGACAAAAUAGCCAGGCUCAGGCUUCUAACAUGAUCAAGUCGGCCCCAACCAUGCUGCAGUCGCUUCCUCCCCCAACCACGUUCAGUGUUCAAGCCCAGGCCCCCCCACCGUCCCUCCUGCAAGCCCAGCUGUCUGCUGCCUCUCUGGCCCCUCUCCUUCAGAACCCCCCUCAGCCUCUGCUCCCUCAGCCUCCAACCAAAGACGUAUUUGCUGGCGGUUUGCUUCAGCCCCCUGUGAGAAUAAUGCCGCAGACGCUCCGACGAAUCGAGCCUCCGACUCGUUUCACCACCCGAAACGAUCGGGGUCCUGAACUCAUCCUCCGGACUAAGGAAGAACGCAGCAGAGACAGAGACCGUGAGCGGAGGCGAUCUAGAGAACGCUCUCCCACCCGCAAACGAUCUCGAGACCGCUCCCCGAGACGGGAGCGCUCCCCCAGACGUCCACGCAGGGUGCUCCCACGCUACACGGUCCAGUUUUCCAAGUUCAGCUUAGACGGCUCCAGCUGCGACUUGAUGGAGCUGAGGCGGCGCUAUCAGAGUCUCUACAUCCCCAGUGACUUCUUUAACGCUGUUUUCACCUGGGUGGACGCCUUCCCUCUUACAAGACCCUUCCAGUUCAGUAACGCCUGUAACUUCCACAUCUUGCACAAAGAAGUAGAUCCUCCAGUCAAAAACACAUCUGUGCUGGACCCUCCUGACGUUAACCACACCUACAGCGCAAAGGUGAUGCUGCUUGCUAACCCCAGUUUAGAGGAGCUUUACCACAAGUCGUGUGCUCUGGCCGAGGAUCCCCAGGAAGUCAGAGACUCCUUCCAACAUCCUGCUAGGCUCAUCAAGUUUUUGGUGGGCAUGCGAGGUAAAGACGAGGCCAUGGCAAUCGGAGGUCAUUGGUCUCCCUCUCUGGACGGGGCGGACCCAGAGAAGGACCCGUCUGUCCUCAUUAAGACAGCCAUACGCUGUUGCAGGGCACUCACAGGCAUAGACCUUAGCCUCUGCACUCAGUGGUAUCGUUUUGCAGAGAUUCGCUAUCACCGGCCGGAGGAGACACACAAGGGGCGGACAGUCCCCGCUCAUGUGGAGACAGUGGUUUUGUUUCUUCCGGAUGUUUGGCAUUGUCUUCCUACCCGCUCAGAGUGGGAAGUGCUGUCACGGCGACUCCGGGAGCAGCUGGCUGAGAAGCUGUCGGCCGAGCGAAAGGAGGCGGAUGGAGAACAGGAGGAAGAGGAAAAAGAUGACGAAGAGUCUAAGGAUGUCAGUAUUGCCACUCACUGGACUAAACUUGACCCGAAAUCAAUGAAGGUCAAUGACCUGCGUAGAGAACUUGACUGUCGCUCUCUGAGCUCAAAGGGAUUGAAAUCCCAGCUCAUAGCGCGUCUCACCAAGCAACUGAAGGUGGAGGAGCAGGUGGAGGAGUCGAAAGAGCCCGAGAAACCAGAAGUUAAAGUAGCAGAGGAAGAGGAGCCGCCUCGCACCGAGGACGACAAAGAGGAUGAUGAAAAGAAGAAGCAGGAAGAGCUUGAGCGCCAGCGGAGAGAAAGGCGCUACAUCCUUCCCGAUGAGCCCACCAUCCUGGUGUACCCCAACUGGGCUGCCAAAAACGGCAAAUUUGACUGCAGCGUCAUGUCCCUCAGUGUGCUGCUGGACUACAGACUGGAGGACAAUAAGGAGCAUUCGUUUGAAGUUUCCCUGUUUGCUGAGCUGUUCAACGAGAUGCUGCAGAGAGACUUUGGCUACCGCAUCUACAAAGCGCUCGCUUCUCUUCCUGCGAAGGAUGAGAAGAAGGAAAAAAAGGUCAAAAGGGACGCAGACAAGAAGGAUGCUGAAAAACGGGAAAUUAAAAAGGAAAAAGAAGAAGAGAUUGAGGAGCCAGUGGCUAAAAGGAACAAAGAUGAUGAGGAGGAGAAAAGAAAGUAUGAUGACAAAACCAUCAAAAAGGAGGAGUCUCGGGACGAGGAUGAAAAUGAAGACGAGGGCAGCACAGCCAAUGCUGAAGAGUACGACCCCUUGGAGGCUGAAGAUGCGGAGGACGAUGACGACGACGACGAUGACAAAGACGACGAAGACUCUAACGACAGGGACAGGAGAGACCGCAGAGACGACCGCAGGUCAUCGAAGGACAGAUCCUCUAAAGACAAGGAAAAGAAGCAGAUGGUGACCCAGAACAGGGAUCUGCUCAUGGCGUUUGUCUACUUUGACCAGAGCCACUGCGGCUACUUGCUGGAGAGAGACCUGGAGGACAUCCUGUACACUCUGGGUCUGCAUCUUUCUCGUGCACAGAUCAAGAAGCUUUUGAACAAACCUGUGGUCAGAGAGUCUUGUUACUACCGAAAACUUACAGACAGGGGAAAGGAUGAAGCAGCGGCCUCCCUUAAUGAAGCCCAUAUAGAAAACCUCACAGGUAACAGAGCUUUGCUUCCCAGUCCGAAGGCUCAUGCUUCAUCAGAGGCGAGUGAGUCUGGUAAUCUGAUCGUGUACAAUGGAGCCAUGGUCGACGUCGGCAGCAUGAUGCAGAAACUGGAGAAGAGCGAAAAGGCUCGAGAGGAGAUAGAGCAGAAGCUUAUAACUCAGGAUGCCAAAAUGGAGGAGGAUGCAAAGCUUAAAGCUCAGCUAGAACUCGCCAACAAAUCCCUAAGCAAGGAGUUGGAGGAAGUGACGAGCGCGCUCAGCCGAACCGAAGAGACUCUGAGAGCCGUGAAGGAGAAAAAAACCGUCUAUUACGAGCUGAUGAGCAACUCUGCUAAUUCCUUGAUGACCACGGUCAAUGGGCUUUUGGAUGUACUAAAGAAGGAUCAAGGAGGCGAUUCUGGCGAGAAGGCUGCAAGCGAUUCCAUUCAGACGUCGCAGACAAACGGCGCUGACGAGUAACUUCGGAUAGAUGAAGCCAACCUGUAAUGUUGAUAUCAAAUUACUUUACUUCCUUCAUGUAAUGUCGGUGUUCAAGAUUCAAGAGGACGCACAAAGAUGGCCGCCAGCUGCAGAAAAGGAAGCAGAUUUAAUAAAUUUGUCUUUGCAACAAGCAGUUGUGAAAGUACCUAAACAUCCCA